rnacentral:rRNA from 1 species
AGUGGCGGACGGGUGAGUAACGCGUGAGAAUCUGCCUUGGGGUCGGGGACAACCACUGGAAACGGUGGCUAAUACCGGAUAAGCCGAUUGGUGAAAGAUUUAUUGCCCGAAGAGGAGCUCGCGUCUGAUUAGCUAGUUGGUGAGGUAAGAGCUCACCAAGGCAGCGAUCAGUAGCUGGUCUGAGACGACGAUCAGCCACACUGGGACUGAGACACGGCCCAGACUCCUACGGGAGGCAGCAGUGGGGAAUUUUCCGCAAUGGGCGAAAGCCUGACGGAGCAAGACCGCGUGAGGGAGGAAGGCUCUUGGGUUGUAAACCUCUUUUCUCAGGGAAGAAGCUCUGACGGUACCUGAGGAAUCAGCCUCGGCUAACUCCGUGCCAGCAGCCGCGGUAAUACGGAGGAGGCAAGCGUUAUCCGGAAUUAUUGGGCGUAAAGCGUCCGCAGGUGGCGAUUCAAGUCUGCUGUCAAAGCACGGGGCUUAACUCCGUAAAGGCAGUGGAAACUGAAUAGCUAGAGUGCCGUAGGGGUAGAGGGAAUUCCCGGUGUAGCGGUGAAAUGCGUAGAGAUCGGGAAGAACAUCGGUGGCGAAAGCGCUCUACUCGACGGCAACUGACACUCAGGGACGAAAGCUAGGGGAGCGAAUGGGAUUAGAUACCCC